AAUACAGGUUAUGAUAUAUAAUGAUAACUAUACUACAAACUCACUACAACCUCGCACUACUCGCUACUACAACCAACACUUCAACACCAAUGCAAACGUACUGCAAAACCCCACAAGAGGCGCGAGUUUCGAACCAGUUUUAUCCGCAAGCGAUACUCAGAAUGAAGCAAUGACGUAUUCAACAGAAAACGAGGCCUCGUUUGUCAUCGUCACGUGAUUUUCACGGAAACGAUACAAGCCUCGAAUCGGGGCUUCAUCUGGAACGCCCCUUUUUGCUCGACACAAGCUCCGGAGCCUCGCUUCAGAUGUCCCAUCACUACUGAGAGUCACAGCCUCAGAGGCAUCGUAAACAAGCGUUAUAUUUCUCUAUAAACGAUGGUGUCUGUACUGCCUUACCACUUCGAGCUCGAUCCAGAGAGUUCAGAAGGCCGUUACGAUAUAAACGAUCUCCGUCAAUGAAUGCGAUUGGAUUUAACUUUUUUAGGUGUCCUUAGCUCUGCCAGAAUGCUAAACGAAGACGAAAAUGUGUUGCAAAGACAUCCAAAAGGUAAUUAUAACGUACUACAUAACUAUAUGGAAACACCAAAUGUAGCACAUAGAAAGUAUUUGUUGAAAUGAUUAUAAAACGAUUUCACUUGGUAAUUUCUACAUUAUUUUACUCUAGUAAAAUUUAUUAUAAGACUGCUUACAUACUGUAUUACUGUGCAAACUAUAUGGAAACACCAAAUGUAGCACAUAUAAAGUAUUUGUUGAAAUGAUUAUAAAACGAUUUCACUUGGUAAUUUCUACAUUAUUUUACUAUAGUAAACUUAAUUAUAAAAUACUGCUUACAUACUAUUUUACUGUGCAAACUAUAUGGAAACACCAAAUGUAGCACAAAAAAAGUAUUAAUUGAAAUGAAUGUUAGUUCUACAUUAUUUUACUAUGGUAAACUUUAUUAUGAAAGACUGUGCUAUGUUUUUACUUACUAGGUUUUAAGGAGAAUGCAACAUGUUCCAGGGCCUCUUACCUGCGUGAUUCAUCAUCCAGGUUUUGCACAAAUUGUCUAAAUCCCUACACACAGAACAUUUAUUGUACCGAAUAUAAGCCUUUGAGGCGCAGGACUAGAAUACGCUUGGAGCUUCCUGAUCGGAAUGUUGGCUUCCGACGACCCCUGCACUGAAGAUGGCAUGCAAUCACGUCCUCCUUUGAAGGUCUCUCAAACUGUGAUGCCAGGUCCAUUGGAAUCGGGGUUUCCUUCAGCUUAUCUUCAAAUACCUCAGCAAACACAAGCCUGAUCACAUCAUCCACAUAACUGUAGAAAUAUUGCGGUCAAUAAAUCUUUUGUUUUGAUCAUUUAUUUCCCUGCUUCAUACAUUAAGUUUUUAAUUAUGAAUGUAUUUGAAAUAAAACAUUACUGCUUA